GUGUCAGCCGCCGCGGUCAUACGUAGGGUGCAAGCAUUAUCCGGAGUGACUGGGCGUAAAGAGUUGCGUAGGUGGUUUGUUAAGUGAAUAGUGAAAUCUGGGGGCUCAACCUCACAGGCUAUUAUUCAAACUGGCAAACUCGAGAAUGGUAGAGGUAACUGGAAUUUCUUGUGUAGGAGUGAAAUCCGUAGAUAUAAGAAGGAACACCAAUGGCGUAGGCAGGUUACUGGACCAUUUCUGACACUGAGGCACGAAAGCGUGGGGAGCGAACGGGAUUAGAUACCCUAGUAGUCC
rnacentral:rRNA from 1 species